rnacentral:tRNA from 1 species
GCAUGACUAGUUCAGUCAGUAGAGCAUGAGACUCUUAAUCUCAGGGUCAUGGGUUUGUGCUUCAUGUUGGGCU